GUGUCAGCCGCCGCGGUAAUACAGAGGUCCCAAGCGUUGUUCGGAUUUACUGGGCGUAAAGGGUGCGUAGGCGGCGAGGAAAGUUUGAGGUGAAAUCUCCAGGCUUAACUUGGAAAAUGCCUUGAAGACUUCCUUGCUAGAGGAUCGCAGAGGAGACUGGAAUUCUCGGUGUAGCAGUGAAAUGCGUAGAUAUCGAGAGGAACACCAGUGGCGAAAGCGGGUCUCUGGGCGAUACCUGACGCUGAGGCACGAAAGCCAGGGGAGCAAACGGGAUUAGAUACCCUCGUAGUCC
rnacentral:rRNA from 1 species